rnacentral:rRNA from 1 species
ACGGGAGGCAGCAGUGAGGAAUAUUGGUCAAUGGACGGAAGUCUGAACCAGCCAAGUAGCGUGAGGGAUGACGGCCCUAUGGGUUGUAAACCUCUUUUGUGAGGGAAUAAAGUGUGCCACGUGUGGUUCAUUGCAUGUACCUUACGAAUAAUGAUCGGCUAACUCCGUGCCAGCAGCCGCGGUAAUUCUGAGUAUCCGAGCGUUAUCCGGAUUUAUUGGGUUUAAAGGGAGCGUAGGCGGGAGGUCAAGUCAGCUGUGAAAUGUAGUCGCUCAAAGUCUGCACUGCAGUUGAAACUGGUCUUCUUGAGUGCGUAAGAGGCAGGUGGAAUUCGUCGUGUAGCGGUGAAAUGCUUAGAUAUGACGAAGAACUCCGAUUGCGAAGGCAGCUUGCUGGGCCGCAACUGACGCUGAAGCUCGAAGGUGCGGGUAUCAAACAGGAUUAGAUACCCUGGUA